AUGGGGGACCAUGUGGUGGUGAAUGUGGACGGUUUGGCGAACACCAAGGAUGAUGGCUUUGCUGAGAAGCUAUCUGAGGCUGUGUCGGUGGUUGUUGUUGAUAUGGCGGAGGAUGGUGGCGAGGAUGAGCCACUCAUCCAGGCUGCAGAGUGCCGCAUAUGCCAGGAAGAGGACAGCAUCAAGAAUCUCGAGAAACCAUGUACGUGCAACGGCAGUCUGAAGUAUGCUCAUAGAGCGUGUGUGCAACGCUGGUGCAAUGAGAAAGGAGACAUUACAUGUGAAAUUUGCCAUGAGCAAUAUAAGCCUGGGUACACAGCACCACCACGUGUUCAACCAGAUGAGACCAGCAUAGAUAUAAGUGGGGAUUGGACCAUUACAGGAGCUCCUCUGGAUUUGCGUGACCCAAGAAUUCUUGCUGUAGCAGCUGCACAGCGUCGUCUUCUUGAAGCAGAGUAUGACGAAUAUGGUGGUACUGAUGCUAAUGGUGCUGCAUUCUGCCGUUCUGCUGCACUCAUUCUAAUGGCCCUGUUGCUUCUAAGACAUGCAUUGUCGAUCUCGGACAAUGAAGGAGAUGAUGACGCUUCUACCAUGUUCUCUCUUUUUCUUCUCCGAGCUGCUGGAUUUCUGCUGCCAUGCUAUAUAAUGGCAUGGAUCUUCAGCAUUUUGCAUCGCCGGCGACAAAGGGAGGAAGCGGCCUCAAUUGCCACGGCAGAGGUAGCAUUCAUCCUGCAAUCAGCCCAGGGCCGUGCCCUUCAGUUUACCAUCGCUCCAGACUCUCCAACCACCCCACAGCAUGAGCCACAGCAGCAGCAAUAG
rnacentral:rRNA from 1 species